GGAGACGUGUCCGAGCUGGCUUAAGGAGCACGAUUGGAAAUCGUGUGCAUGGGGAAACUCGUGUCCAGGGUUCGAAUCCCUGCGUCUCCGCCA
rnacentral:tRNA from 1 species